rnacentral:rRNA from 1 species
AUUGAACGCUGGCGGCAGGCUUAACACAUGCAAGUCGAACGAGCGGCGUACGGGUGAGUAAUGCUUGGGAAUCCAGCUUAUGGAGGGGGAUAACUACUGGAUACGGUGGCUAAUACCGCAUACCAUUAGCUGAACCCAUAUGGGAUUAGGUGGUAGGUAAGGUAACGGCUCACCUACGCGACGAGCCCUAGCUGGUCUGAGAGGAUGAUCAGCCAAACUGGGUCUGAGAGACGGCCCCGACUCUGACGGUAGGCAGCAGUGGGGAAGAUGGCACAAUGGGCGCAAGCCUGAUGCAGCCAGGCCGCGUGUGUGAAGAAGGCCUUAGGGUUGUAAAGUACUUUCAGUCGGGAGGCGUUACCGACAGAAGAAGCACCGGGUAGCUCCGUGCCAGCAGCCGCGGUAAUUC